GAUCGUGGUAAACAGUCAGCAAAGAGCAAACCCUUUGCUUUUGUUACCUUCACAAAAACAUGCAUUUUACAUUUUAUAUUUUUAUCAAUUAGAAUUGCUAGUAAUAUUGGUAGUUUUAUAAUUAAUCAUUUUGUUUUCAUAAUAAUAUAAUAAUAUGCUUUUUGGGUUAUAAUAUUACCGUUAUAGGGUAUUCCUCAAUUGUUGAUACGCGCAGGACUAUAGAAGUGUAGAACUACUAGAAGCCAGGAGGUCUGAUAGAAAAAAUCCUCUUCGACGCAGAAAGUCAGAAAUUAUACUCUAUACUUGUGUACUACCCAUAUUUAUAGACUGAUAUUUGUGCUUCGACAAUUCGACAUUAACUAUCAUUUAGUGAAGCAUCGCUAUUCUGUAUUCACUGGAUACAAGUGAAGAAGGGUAUGAUUGUGAUUUGAC